rnacentral:lncRNA from 1 species
AACCAUAAACAUGUUUAUGCAACACAAAUAAUUUAAUAUAAUUAUUGCAAAUGUACUUACCAUAAUGAUUGUUUUACGAUCUCAGCCUGUUGUCUUGUUUCAAUUUCUCUUUGUGGGUUGUUCAUGCAAAGAACAGGAAAUACUGCAACAGAUAUGCCAGAACUGUGAGAGCUGCAGAGGAUUAACAAUGAACUUUUCUCUGCUCUUCUUUUUCUUCUUCAUUUUGCCAGGUCUUGGCUCUGCUGAAGUGAGGCUGAUCCAGAGCACAGAUAAAGACCAGUAUACUGUGGGAGAAUCUGCAACAUGUCAGUAAGAACUCCAUGAACCUGCAAUACAGAAAUUUGAUUGGCUGCACUAUGUAAUCGUAGGCAUAAACGUGCUGCUCUUCAUUGCUGCCACCAUUGUGUGUGCCAUCAUUAUUCGAAAACGCAGGAAGAGAAGAAACUACGGCACUCAGUAAUUUGUUUUGCUUUGCAUACAUAAUAUGAAAACAUUGAUCUAUAGCUAAUUUUACUGGGAAUAUACCAGACCAAUUC